rnacentral:rRNA from 1 species
GAUGAACGCUGGCGGCGUGCCUAAUACAUGCAAGUCGAGCGAACAGACGAGGAGCUUGCUCCUUUGACGUUAGCGGCGGACGGGUGAGUAACACGUGGGUAACCUACCUAUAAGACUGGGAUAACUUCGGGAAACCGGAGCUAAUACCGGAUAAUAUUUCGAACCGCAUGGUUCGAUAGUGAAAGAUGGCUCUGCUAUCACUUAUAGAUGGACCUGCGCCGUAUUAGCUAGUUGGUAAGGUAACGGCUCACCAAGGCAACGAUACGUAGCCGACCUGAGAGGGUGAUCGGCCACACUGGAACUGAGACACGGUCCAGACUCCUACGGGAGGCAGCAGUAGGGAAUCUUCCGCAAUGGGCGAAAGCCUGACGGAGCAACGCCGCGUGAGUGAUGAAGGUCUUCGGAUCGUAAAACUCUGUUAUUAGGGAAGAACAAACGUGUAAGUAACUGUGCACGUCUUGACGGUACCUAAUCAGAAAGCCACGGCUAACUACGUG